UCAAACUUGGUCAUUUAGAGGAAGUAAAAGUCGUAACAAGGUUUCCGUAGGUGAACCUGCGGAAGGAUCAUUACCAUUGACAGGCAGGACUAUCCGUAGUCCUCUGCCCUCAACCCUCUGUUUUUUGCGUACUUGUUGUUUCUUUGGCGGGUGUUGCCCGCCAAAUGGCACAUUGAAACCUUCUUUUGCAACUGCAAUCGGCGUCUGAAUAUCUUGAAUAAUUACAACUUUCAACAACGGAUCUCUUGGUUCUGGCAUCGAUGAAGAACGCAGC
rnacentral:misc_RNA from 1 species